rnacentral:rRNA from 1 species
UGGCGGCAUGCUUUACACAUGACAAGUACGAACGGCAGCGACGGGUGCUUGCACCGUGGUGGCGAGUGGCGGACGGGUGAGUAAUACAUCGGAACGUAUACCUAAAGUGGGGGAUAACGCAUCGAAAGAUGUGCUAAUACCGCAUACACUCUGAGGAGGAAAGUAGGGGAUCGAAAGACCUUAUGCUUUUGGAGCGGCCGAUGUCUGAUUAGCUAGUUGGUAAGGUAAUGGCUUACCAAGGCAACGAUCAGUAGUUGGUCUGAGAGGACGACCAGCCACACUGGGACUGAGACACGGCCCAGACUCCUACGGGAGGCAGCAGUGGGGAAUUUUGGACAAUGGGCGCAAGCCUGAUCCAGCAAUGCCGCGUGAGUGAAGAAGGCCUUCGGGUUGUAAAGCUCUUUCAGUUGAGAAGAAAAAGAUUGUGACUAAUAAUUGCAAUUCAUGACGGUAUCAACAGAAG